AUGAUAAUCACCUCGCCUUCGGCGAAUAUAAUUGUUAAUUAUAAGGCUAAUUAUAAGGCAUUCUAAUUCGAACAAGACUGAUGAUUUAAAAAAGUUUGCUUUUUGGCCGAGAAGGUAAACACGCGCCGUAGUUUUUGCAUCAUGAAAAACAAAUAACCGGGUUUUUCCACCAAUAAAAUGCACGUCCAAUCCUUUACAUAUAUAUUAGCUUUAGAACUUAGAAAGUAAUAUUUAAAUAUAUAUUAGCUUUAGAACUUAGAAAGUAUAGAAACAUAUAAUUAUGGAGGAUAACUUCGUUUUGAAAU